UCCCUGGUGGCUCAGACGGUAAAGCGUCUGCCUACAAUGCAGGAGACCCGGGUUUGAUCCCCGGGUCGGGAA
rfam:TPA: Bos taurus chromosome 18, whole genome shotgun sequence.